GUGGGGAAUAUUGCACAAUGGGCGCAAGCCUGAUGCAGCCAUGCCGCGUGUAUGAAGAAGGCCUUCGGGUUGUAAAGUACUUUCAGCGAGGAGGAAGGUGUUGAGGUUAAUAACCUCAGCAAUUGACGUUACUCGCAGAAGAAGCACCGGCUAACUCCGUGCCAGCAGCCGCGGUAAUACGGAGGGUGCAAGCGUUAAUCGGAAUUACUGGGCGUAAAGCGCACGCAGGCGGUCUGUCAAGUCGGAUGUGAAAUCCCCGGGCUCAACCUGGGAACUGCAUCCGAAACUGGCAGGCUAGAGUCUUGUAGAGGGGGGUAGAAUUCCAGGUGUAGCGGUGAAAUGCGUAGAGAUCUGGAGGAAUACCGGUGGCGAAGGCGGCCCCCUGGACAAAGACUGACGCUCAGGUGCGAAAGCGUGGGGAGCAAACAGGAUUAGAUACCCGAGUAGUCC
rnacentral:rRNA from 1 species